rnacentral:lncRNA from 1 species
UCGCCUGUAAUCCUACCUACUCAGGAGGCUGAGGCAGGAGGAUUAUUUAAGCCCAGGAGCUUGAGGCUAUAGUGAGCCAUAAAUGCAUGCCACUGAACUCCAGCCUGGGCAACAGGGCAAGUCUCUUCAAGAAAAACAAUUGCCACCUCAAAUUGACAAACUGAAGAAGACAGACAGAUAACAGUUAUUCUGGUGCCAUGGCCAUAUAGACAAACCAGGUUUUAGGAUUUUCAAAGCCUAGAAUCAUGACACCUGAUGAUGAACCAUUAAAGUUAUGAGCCUUCGCAAAUCAUUGCUACAGAAUAUGCGCAGCAUUCUGUGGAUUGGAGAGAUGUAGCCUCGCUUCGCUUGCCUCUUUCUCCCGAGGACAGUAAUCAGUCAUAAAAACAGCUCUCCUCCUUCAUAUCAAGCCAACAGCUGGAAACUCUUCUGCAAUGUCAAAUUUAGCACGCACCCCUUACUAGGCACUGAACUUAGUCUUGUGGGUCUGCGCUACAGUCUUAAAUGAGUAUUCCCGGGCCAUAGUUUAUCCUUUAUUUUUGCGUAACAUUCUCAUUGACUUUGGUGCAACUCUAUAAAGGAAGCAAGGAUUGAAUAUCAUCCUUUAAUGCCAAAUUUACUACAGCUGAACAAAAUGAGCGGAAAUCUGGGAGGCUCAUGUCAAUAAACAAAAGAUAAAUGUUUAGGAGACUUAAUAACUGAAAGGAGCUCAA